rnacentral:antisense_RNA from 1 species
UACUUAUUAAUGCAUUAUUACCUGUGAGUAAGAAAAAGGUGCUUGCAUUUCAGAAGUUUGUGUGAAUCACAUGUCCUCCUCAUUUCCUACCAGAGUUCAGAUACAGAGGACCAACUGGACUUGUCAGACUCUGAAACUUCAACUUCUCAGCUCCACUUGAACCUCAGGCAUAGAGAUGGAAUCUGAAGUGGACCAGAGGGUGGCUUCUUGGAGAUGGUGAGGCAUGGCCACAGGAGGAACAGGAUGCAUGACAGCUGCUUCCCACACAGAUAUACCGCAUCUAAGAAGAUGUCACCACCCCCACGAGAAAUAUCUACUGUAUGCUCAUGUUUGAAUGGGUGUGUAUAUAUAUAUAGAUUCAAUAUAUACAUAUGUUGCAAAGAACUGAA